rnacentral:rRNA from 1 species
CCCUUAGAUGUUCUGGGCCGCACGCGUGCUACACUGAACGGUUCAAUGGGUAAGGUAGUGCGAAAGCAUGACCUAAUCUCGAAAUCCGUUCGUGCUGGGGAUAGAAGCUUGCAAUUAUCCUUCUUGAACGAGGAAUACCUUGUAAGCGUGAGUCAUCAUCUCACGCUGAAUACGUCCCUGCCCUUUGUACACACCGCCCGUCGCUACUACUGAUUGGAUGUUUAAGCGAGGUUCUCGAACUGCUAGCGACUUAGCUUCGGUGAGGUCGCAGUGUGGGAAGUGAACCUAGCUUUGGUGUCUAGAGGAAGUAAAAGUCGUAACA